rnacentral:lncRNA from 1 species
UCGGCGCUGGCAGCAGCGGUCCCUGGUCCCACAGUGCCGCGCACAGACCGAACCCACCUGCGCUCCCGGCCGGGGGGCUGCGGCCCAGCCUCCCACCGUUCCUGCUCGCAUGGAAAAAGAAACCCUUUUCCCAGGAAGCAGCCCAUGAAAGGCUUAUUUUGAUGUCGGGGUGAGGAGCACAGCCCAGCCAAGCCACCCUGUGUGUUUGUUGCUGACGGGCACAGGCUCCCGCUCCCCCGUGGCGUUCCCUGCUGUGGCAGGAAAAAUUCCAGUGGUUAUCAGAAAACUUUCUUCAUUUAUCUUUUUUUUCAAAGCAUCUCUGUAUUAUUUUUUUUUUUUUUUUGAGGGUGCAAGCCAGAGGAAUAAAGGCCUCUGGAGCACCACAUUUAUUUCUAGGAUAUUUGUUUGGAAGAUAAAUUUCCCUUUCAGUGACUCUGCAGGCCCAGGGAGCCCCUCUCACCUUCCCCAUCCUAUUCAGGAGGAGCCCCAGGCAGGUGCUGCUGCCCCUGUCCCCUCUGAGCCGGGAGCUGAGCUGUCCCCACUCUGACAGGUAUUUACAAGGGGGUUGAACAGGUAAUUAGUGGCCAGUCCUGGCUGCGGGAAACCCUCCUGCUCAUCCCGCCCAGCACGGGCAGUGACGGGAGCGCUGAUUUUCGACGGCUGAUUGAGCCUGAACAAAGACCCCAAACAGCACCGAGUGCCCGACCCGGGGAUGGUAACUUUAGAGCCAAUGGGCUCCUUUCCCAUCAGUUUAUAGCAGUGUUAUUUUUUUCCAAGCUGAUAACAUUUUAAACAUAUUGCAGGACGGAAUUUUCUUGGGAAGCAGGGAAACCCUUGAAUAUGCUAUAAAAGAAACUCGUGUGUAUAAGGAAACCCAUUCUGUGAAUUCACCUGUUGCCAGCCAAGGAGAAAUGUUUGGUGUUUUAUUUCAAUCAAGAAUUUGUUGUGUAUCUGGUGCUUUAUCUAACCUCACUCUUUGAAAGAUUUGAUGUAAUGCUUGGCAGAGCUCUUAGGUUCAAGCUGCUUUAUUAUGCUAUGCUCUGUAAGUUUUGACAUUUUAGACUGAUGGUAUUGAGGGAAUAAAAAUAUAGACUGAAAUCCUCA